GCGCUCGUAGCUCAGUUGGAUAGAGUACCAGACUACGAAUCUGGGGGUCAGAGGUUCGAAUCCUCUCGAGCGCGCCA
rnacentral:tRNA from 1 species